UACGUAGGGUGCGAGCGUUGUCCGGAAUUAUUGGGCGUAAAGGGCUCGUAGGCGGUUUGUCGCGUCGGGAGUGAAAUCCACUGGCUUAACUGGUGGCUUGCUUUCGAUACGGGCAGACUGGAGGUAUGCAGGGGAGAACGGAAUUCCUGGUGUAGCGGUGAAAUGCGUAGAGAUCGGAAGGAACACCAGUGGCGAAGGCGGCUACCUGGACAAAUACUGACGCUGAUGCGCGAAAGCGUGGGGAUCAAACAGG
rnacentral:rRNA from 1 species